rnacentral:pre_miRNA from 1 species
CACUGGAGGCAGCGGUUCAUCGAUCUCUUCCUGGGGAAUUUUGUUGGUUCGAAUGGACAAGACGCAUGAAUCGGUCGAUAAACCUCUGCAUCCAGC